UGUCCUCUUUGAGCCGAGUUGGGGUUGUAGGGGAAGGUUGUUGAGGGGGACUAUUGAUUGUCUGGAUGAGGGGGCUUUGUAUUUUUAGGGGGGCUUCUUGUAUGACCUGAGCAACGGGUCCUAUAGGGCAGUUGGGUCGGGGCGGGGUUAUAUGCUGGAUGGUAAAGAUGUUUCCCAUGUCCCACCCACUCAUAUAUACCCUGAGACCCCAGUUUUGCCCUGUUGUCCAUCUACCAUCUGGGUACAGAACCAUUA